rnacentral:rRNA from 1 species
ACGCUCGACACCUACGGGAGACAGCAGUAGGGAAUCUUCCACAAUGGGCGCAAGCCUGAUGGAGCAACACCGCGUGAGUGAAGAAGGGUUUCGGCUCGUAAAGCUCUGUUGUUGGAGAAGAACGUGCGUGAGAGUAACUGCUCACGCAGUGACGGUAUCCAACCAGAAAGUCACGGCUAACUACGUGUCAGCAGCCGCGGUAAUCUGAGCGGCUGGCAAGGC